rnacentral:rRNA from 1 species
UUCUUGAAAAUUAAGAAAAUUGGCGGUAUUUUAGUCUAUUCAGAGGAACCUGUCCUGUAAUUGAUAGUCCACGUUUUAAAUUACUUAUUUUAUAUAAUUUGUAUAUCGCCGUAGGUUGAAUAUUUUUUUAGAAAUUAAAUAUUCAAAAUUUUUUUUUAGAAAGAAAAUCAGGUCAAGGUGUAGUUUAUAAAUAAGAAGAGAUGGGUUACAAUAAUUAUAUUUUUAUGAAUGAGUUUUUUAAAAGAACUUUGAAAAUGGAUUUGAAAGUAAUUUUAAAGAAAUUUUUAAAAUGAUUUUAGCUCUAAAAUAUGUACAUAUUGCCCGUCGCUUUCAUUUUAAAGUGAAAUAAGUCGUAACAAAGUAGAUGUACUGGAAAGUGUAUCUGGAAAGGUCAAAUUAAAGCUUUGUAAGCAUUUUAUUUACAUUAAAAAGAUUAUUAGGAAUAAUAUAGUUUGAGAUUAAUAAAUUAUUUUAUUGGAGAGUAAUAAUUAGAUUUUAAUUAAAAAAUAAUUUUUUAUUUUAUUAUUUAAAAAGAAUAAAUUAGGGAUAAUUAUAGUAUAUUAGUAUUGUGAGAGAAUUUAAAUUAAUUAGUAAAAAGAAGAAUUUAUUUUUUGUACCUUGUGUAUCAGGGUUUAUUAAAAAAAAAUUAUUUAGGAUAAAUUUCUCGAAUUUAGAAGAGUUAUGAAUAUAUAAUUUUUAUUGUUAAAUAAAUAUUAAGAAUAUAUUUAUAGAAGUGAAAUGCUAUUCGAUUUUAAAUAUAUCUAGUUUUUUAAGAAAAAAAUUUAAUUUUAUUUUUAUAUAAUUAUAAAAUUGAGUUUUUAAUUUUAUAUUAGUAGGAUUUUAUAUUUUUAGGGAUGAGCUUGAAUAUAUAUAUAUAUAAUUUAUUUAUAAAAAAAUUUAUAAAAUAAGAUUAUAAGUUUCUAUUUUUAUUAGUGUGUUAUAAUUAAGUAAAAAUAAUUAAGAUUUUUAUAAAAAUUUAUAUGGUUUAUUAAAAUAUAAUUUUGAAUUAAAAAAAAUUAGUAAUAAUGAUAAAAUUAGUAUAAAUAUAUUUUGUAUAAUAAUAUAAAAAUUUAAGGUUAAGUAAAGGAAUUCGGCAAAUAUAUUUUUCACCUGUUUAUUAAAAACAUGUCUUAUUGAGUAUAAUUUUAAGUCUAACCUGCCCAAUGAGGAUUUUAAUGGCCGCGGUAAUUUGACCGUGCAAAGGUAGCAUAAUCAUUAGUUUUUUAAUUGAAAGCUGGAAUGAAAGGUUUGAUGAGAAAAUAGCUGUCUCUGUUUAAUUUUUUUAGAAUUUUAUUUUUAAGUAAAAAAGCUUAAAUAUGUAUAAAAGACGAGAAGACCCUUUAGAGUUUUAUAGUUUAAAAAAUAAGUUAAAUUUUGGGAUUGAA